rnacentral:misc_RNA from 1 species
GGGCUACUCUCCGCCAUUGGCGUAGCCGGAAUGAGCCGAAUGUUGGGCGCGAACGUCAUCGCCACCAGCGGCCGCGCCGUAGAAGCCGCGGGCGAUGUCGACGUGCUGCUGCUGGAUAAAACCGGCACUAUCACGCUCGGCAACCGCCAGGCGUCCGAUUUUAUACCCGCCCGAGGGGUGGACGAACGCACGCUGGCUGACGCCGCGCAGCUCGCUUCGCUGGCCGACGAAACGCCGGAAGGCCGCAGCAUUGUGAUCCUCGCCAAACAGCGCUUUAACCUGCGUGAACGCGAUGUGCAGUCGCUUCAUGCCACCUUUGUUCCGUUUACCGCGCAAAGCCGCAU